CCUACGGGUGGCAGCAGUGAGGAAUAUUGGUCAAUGGGCGCGAGCCUGAACCAGCCAAGUAGCGUGCAGGAUGACUGCCCUACGGGUUGUAAACUUCUUUUAUAAAGGAAUAAAGUGAGGCACGUGUGCCUUUUUGUAUGUACUGUAUGAAUAAGGAUCGGCUAACUCCGUGCCAGCAGCCGCGGUAAUACGGAGGAUCCGAGCGUUAUCCGGAUUUAUUGGGUUUAAAGGGAGCGUAGAUGGGUUGUUAAGUCAGUUGUGAAAGGUUGCGGCUCAACCGGAAAAUUGCAAUUGAUACUGGUAGUCUUGAGGACAGUUGAGGUAGGCGGAAUUCGUGGUGUAGCGGUGAAAUGCUUAGAGAUCACGAAGAACUCCGAUUGCGAAGGCAGCUUACUAAACUGCCACAGACAUUGAUGCUCGAAAGUGUGGGUAGCAAACAGGAUUAGAUACCCUUGUAGUC
rnacentral:rRNA from 1 species